rnacentral:rRNA from 1 species
UCUAACAUGUGCGCGAGUCAUUGGGAUAAUAAAACCUAAAGGCGAAAUGAAAGUGAAGGUUGACCUUGCGUCGACCGAGGGAGGAUGGGACCGCACAAAAGCGUCCUCGCACUCCCAGGGCGUCUCGUUCUCAUUGCGAGAAGAGGCGCACCUAGAGCGUACAUGUUGGGACCCGAAAGAUGGUGAACUAUGCCUGGUCAGGACGAAGUCAGGGGAAACCCUGAUGGAGGUCCG